UUUUGUGUUAUUUUAUUUCAGUUUAGCUACAUAGAUGGGCAACUGCAUCAUAGAAUACCAAGAAGUGCAGGUACAGAGCUACUGGAGUUCAUUGUGGUUAUUGAGGUGAAUGCAUCACUAGCUGUUGUGAUUGAACAGAUCAGAGCGUCAUUGGCCUCCAUUACGUUUCCUCUUCAACUUGAUAACAGCACUGAAGUUACUGCUGCAAACAUUACAACAGUGUGCCAACCAAAUGCGACAGAAUACCAGUGUGUAUGUGAAGAUGGUUAUGCAUGGUCAUACAACAACUGUCAGACAUAUGAGAACUGUGGCGACAUCAGUUUUGGCUCAUGUGGAUGUAUCAGUGCUGUUCCCAGUGAUGGAGAGAUGUGUGUGCGGAGAGUGGUAAGAAUGAUGAACAAACAAGCCCAACAGCGAAUGCACUCAAAAAACCUGUAAAAAUGUUUGUAAUGAUUAAAAAAGUAAAAUUAAAAAAGUUGCAGUAUAAAUAAAUAAAUAAAUAAACAAAUAAUCUUAAUUUGUUAACUAAGUUACCUUACAUAGUACUGGCUAAAAGUUUUGGCAGUGACAUAAAUUGUGUGUCUUGCCAAGUUUGCUGCUUAAAGCUGGCUGCACAAUAGACAGCA